GUUAGGUAUUUAAUUGUGAUGGUUUCCCAAUAGCAUCCAAUCUUGGGAGCUAAGCAGGGCUGUGUCUGGUUAGUACUUGGAUUGGAGACCAACUUGGAAGACCAGGGGUCUCUAUCC
rnacentral:rRNA from 12 species